UACUAAAUGGAAGCUGGAAAAGUUACACAGCAGGUUGGUCUGCAUGGAAUUCCUCUGAGUAAUUUUUCUAGUCACUUUUUCCACCAGGCACUGCCAACUGCUAUUGUUUGAAAUCCACACGAAUCACGUUGCCACCAGCGCCGGUUUGUUUUGUGGAGCUUUGGAGAGCUGCCUCUGACACAGGCUAGCCCAGCAGCCCACAGAGGCCUCCGAGGUUACAGCUGUGGACACCUCGUUUGUGGAAGAGUCACCUGUGUGGAGCACACCUCAUCCUGAGAUUGGGCGCAGGGAGCGACCCCCAAGUCAGUCGGUGAUAUUGCGGUUGUCUCCAGUUUGGAGCUUUUAUGAAUACGAUGCUGUGGACGUUCGAAUAUCAGUCUGUGUGUGGACUGUCAAUUUUCUUGAGUACCUGGGAGUAGGAUUACUGGGUUGUAUGCGUUAUGCCAGGAACAGCCUCAGGCUCAGGAGCAAAGAGAUGUUGGGCAACUUUGUCGUGACCUGAUGAGUCCCUUGGCUUC